UCUUUUAGUGCAGCACCGCUUUAUAUUUAUGUUGAACACCAGCGUUUCUGACACACUGACUGGCUGUGGCAUUUUCUAUCAGUUUCUUUUCGAUGUAACUGAGGAUUAUCCUUCCAAAAACGGGACUUUUUAUAUUUUGCCCUCUCUAUUAGGGGUUAAUAUUAUGACAUUUUUAUUUGCACAGUUUGAUCGAUAUUUUGCUGUUUGCCAUCCGUUCUUUUAUGCUCGUUUUAUCUCCACAAAAGUUGUUGUCUGUGUGGCUAUUUAUAGUUGGGUGCAUGUUUACGGCCUUUUGGUCAUCCAGCGCAUGGUCCCAUUGUCGAAAGCUUUGGACAUUGCAGUUUAUAGCAGAAUAAGUAUCUUUGUAAUUAUCAUCACCAAAGUGUCUAUGACUAUUAAGCUUCUUUUCGUGGUCAGAUUCCAGCUUCUCCGAGAGCCUCCAGGCCCAGAGAGAGAAAGUCUAUUAAGAUUUCGAAAGUCGCUGUUAAGGUUUGAGCUUUCGGACUUCCACGCUGGUUUGUAGUUUCAUAUUUUAAAUUUCUGUCUGUUAAAAUAUAUAUUUGUAUAGUUACUAUUUUAUUUCAAUACAUGUUCGGGUUUGUUUUACUUUAAAAACGUGUUUAGUGCAAAUAGCCUGCAAACAAAAGUGAUGAUACAUGUUAAUAAAAUUAUGGCAAAAAUGA